rnacentral:rRNA from 1 species
UACGAAGGGAGCUAGCGUUGCUCGGAAUUACUGGGCGUAAAGCGUUUGUAGGCGGUUACUUAAGCCAGUGGUGAAAGCCCAGAGCUCAACUCUGGAAUUGCCAUUGGGACUGAGUAGCUAGAGGAUGUUAGAGGUAAGUGGAAUUCCUAGUGUAGGAGUGAAAUCCGUAGAGAUUAGGAGGAAUAUCGAUGGCGAAGGCAGCUUACUGGGACAUUUCUGACGCUGAGAAACGAAAGCGUGGGUAGCAAACAGG